rnacentral:rRNA from 1 species
CCUACGGGAGGCAGCAGUAGGGAAUUUUCCGCAAUGGGCGAAAGCCUGACGGAGCAAUACCGCGUGAGGGAUGACUGCCUAUGGGUUGUAAACCUCUUUUUUCAGGGAGGAAUAAAUGACGUGUACCUGAAGAAUAAGCAUCGGCUAACUCCGUGCCAGCAGCCGCGGUAAGACGGAGGAUGCAAGUGUUAUCCGGAAUCACUGGGCGUAAAGCGUCUGUAGGUGGCUCGACAAGUCAACUGUUAAAUCUUGAAGCUCAACUUCAAAAUCGCAGUCGAAACUAUCGGACUAGAGUAUAGUAGAGGUAAAGGGAAUUUCCAGUGGAGCGGUGAAAUGCGUAGAGAUUGGAAAGAACACCGAUGGCGAAGGCACUUUACUGGGCUAUUACUGACACUCAGAGACGAAAGCUAGGGUAGCAAAUGGGAUUAGAUACCCCAGUAGUCCUAGCCGUAAACAAUGGAUACUAGGUGUUGAACAGAUCGACCUGUGCAGUACCAAAGCUAACGCGUUAAGUAUCCCGCCUGGGAAGUAUGCACGCAAGUGUGAAACUCAAAGGAUUGAGCGNGAGAGNGCGACGCGACACGAGGGAGAGG